GACGUAGGGCGCGAGCGUUGUCCGGAUUUAUUGGGCGUAAAGAGCUCGUAGGCGGCUUGUCGCGUCGACUGUGAAAACCCGUGGCUCAACCAUGUGGUCUGCAGUCGAUACGGGCAGGCUAGAAUUCGGUAGGGGAGACUGGAAUUCCUGGUGUAGCGGUGAAAUGCGCAGAUAUCCGGAGGAACACCGGUGGCGAAGGCGGCUUCCUGGACCGACACUGACGCUGAGGCGCGAAAGCUAGGGGAGCAAACGGG
rnacentral:rRNA from 1 species